rnacentral:rRNA from 1 species
UACGUAGGGUGCAAGCGUUAAUCGGAAUUACUGGGCGUAAAGCGUGCGCAGGCGGCUUUGCAAGACAGAUGUGAAAUCCCCGGGCUCAACCUGGGAACUGCAUUUGUGACUGCAUGGCUAGAGUGCGGCAGAGGGGGAUGGAAUUCCGCGUGUAGCAGUGAAAUGCGUAGAUAUGCGGAGGAACACCGAUGGCGAAGGCAAUCCCCUGGGCCUGCACUGACGCUCAUGCACGGAAGCGUGGGGAGCAAACAGG